UCUGAACNUGGCGGCAGGCUUAACACAUGCAAGUCGAGCGGGCCCUUCGGGGUCAGCGGCGGACGGGUGAGUAACGCGUGGGAACGUGCCUUCUGGUUCGGAAUAACCCUGGGAAACUAGGGCUAAUACCGGAUACGCCCUUUUGGGGAAAGGUUUACUGCCGGAAGAUCGGCCCGCGUCUGAUUAGCUAGUUGGUGGGGUAACGGCCUACCAAGGCGACGAUCAGUAGCUGGUCUGAGAGGAUGAUCAGCCACACUGGGACUGAGACACGGCCCAGACUCCUACGGGAGGCAGCAGUGGGGAAUAUUGGACAAUGGGCGCAAGCCUGAUCCAGCCAUGCCGCGUGAGUGAUGAAGGCCUUAGGGUUGUAAAGCUCUUUUAUCCGGGACGAUAAUGACGGUACCGGAGGAAUAAGCCCCGGCUAACUUCGUGCCAGCAGCCGCGGUAAUACGAAGGGGGCUAGCGUUGCUCGGAAUCACUGGGCGUAAAGGGCGCGUAGGCGGCGUUUUAAGUCGGGGGUGAAAGCCUGUGGUCAACCACAGAAUGGCCUUCGAUACUGGGACGCUUGAGUAUGGUAGAGGUUGGUGGAACUGCGAGUGUAGAGGUGAAAUUCGUAGAUAUUCGCAAGAACACCGGUGGCGAAGGCGGCCAACUGGACCAUUACUGACGCUGAGGCCGAAANGUGGGGAGC
rnacentral:rRNA from 1 species